rnacentral:rRNA from 1 species
GACGAACGCUGGCGGCGUGCUUAACACAUGCAAGUCGAGCGGUAAGGCCCUUUCGGGGGUACACGAGCGGCGAACGGGUGAGUAACACGUGGGUGACCUGCCCUCAGCUCUGGGAUAAGCCUGGGAAACCGGGUCUAAUACCGGAUAUGACUCCAUGACGCAUGUUGUGGGGUGGAAAGCCUUGUGCGGCUGAGGAUGGGCCCGCGGCCUAUCAGCUUGUUGGUGGGGUGAUGGCCUACCAAGGCGACGACGGUAGCCGGCCUGAGAGGGCGACCGGCCACACUGGGACUGAGACACGGCCCAGACUCCUACGGGAGGCAGCAGUGGGGAAUCUUGCGCAAAUGGGCGAAAGCCUGACGCAGCGACGCCGCGUGAGGGAUGACGGCCU